GCCGAGGUAGCCAAGCCCGGAUUACGGCGCUGGUCUUGAAAACCAGUGUCCUUUGGACGCAUGAGUUCGAAUCUCAUCCUCGGCGCCA
rnacentral:tRNA from 1 species